rnacentral:rRNA from 1 species
AUUGAACGCUGGCGGCAUGCUUUACACAUGCAAGUCGGACGAGUGGCGAACGGGUGAGUAACGCAUCGGAACGUACCGAGUUAUGGGGGAUAACUGUCCGAAAGGACAGCUAAUACCGCAUAUUAUUCGAGCGGUCGAUGUCUGAUGAGCUGGUUGGCGGGGUAAAGGCCCACCCAGGCGACGAUAAGUAGCGGGUCUGCGAGGAUGAUCGGCGACACGGGUAAUGAGACACGGCCCAGAAUCCUACGGGAGGCAGCAGUGGGGAAUUUUGGACAAUGGGCGAAAUCCUGAUCCAGCCAUGCCGCGUGUCUGAAGAAGGCCUUCGGGUUGUAAAGGACUUUUGUCAGGGAAGCGUUACCUGAAGAAUAAGCACCGGCUAACUACGUGCCAGCAGCCGCGGUAAUAC